GCCAAUGACUUUGCUGGAGAUGCACCUGGUCCAUGGACAAAGCAAG
rnacentral:SRP_RNA from 1 species